GUAUCGGUGGAAAUCUUAAGACCAAAGAAUUGAUGAAUAUACUACAAUUAAGCUUUCAUUGUGAAUUGAAGAAUGCAGCAAAGGAUAAUGAACAUACUGAAAUGAUUCCACAUGUUUUAUGCAUCACAUAUUUGUAAUUAAAACAGAUCCUGAAGACAGAAAUAUGUGAUAUGUACUUGUCUAUCUCAUUGGCUGGUGUAGCCCCUGUGCCCAGAAAAGCAUCUAGGAGGUGUUCAGCAAACACUUUAAUGGAGAACAGAGGAACCUCAAAAGCAGAAGCUUUCAGUUGGAGAAUGUGUCAGAGCUUCCCACUCUACUUAUGCCUCAUGAUGUGGCACCUGGGGGUGGAGUGUUCCAGGUGUGCUCUGGCCCUC